UAAUUGUGAUUUUGUAGAGGUUUGGAGUCUCUGUAAUGGGCAGAUUUGUAUGAAUUAGGAAGUUGCUGUAGAAACUUCACCCUUUUACAACUGAGCCGAGGACGUGAUGAAACAUGAUUUAAAUCGGACAGAUUGUGGCUACGUUACCCUUCAUCACUUGCGUAGAAACUGGAAUUUGCAUUCAUUAAUGUUGCAUGCAAAUAAGCAAAAUCCACACUUGGAAACUUUCUUAGCUCAUCGUUGACUCAGUUACUUGGGUGGCAUAAGUCAUUCCCAAAAUAAUACCUGAAUAUACUUAAAUGUACAUCUUUUCAAUUUCUAAACACAAUUUACUCAUAUCCGCCAAUCAAUUACAAACAGUUUCCAGAUUUUAUAAAAUGUUCACAUUAUACAGAAUUUACAUGGCUUUAGGCUGUUUAGCUAAAACACAUAAAGACAAAGUCUCCUCCAAACUGAAUUUAAAUAUAUAUUUGAAAAAAAACUUGUGUUGCAUAGUACAUAUUUUUGGUUCAGGGGUCGUCAAGGUAUACGGACACCAGUGGCCCGCCACCACAAUUUGAGCAGGGCCAGCUGGGGACAUCAUGGAUGGCCCAAAAUAAAGGGAGCUCAGCACUUAAGGAGCAAUCACCACGAGGGAGCAGUGAACAGAGGUCUGUAGGAUAAAAGAAAGAUAAUGAGAAUGGGGAGAGAUAAUGAAAAAGAUGGGAGAUAACAGAGGAGGAGAGGUAGAGAGAAAAAAGAGAAGUAGGGAGAAAAAGGGAAACAUAGGGAGAAACAGAGAAGCGGUAAAGAGAAAGGGGAUAGGUGAAGAGAAAGAAGAGGGCAGGUAGGGAGAAAAUAAGGAGGUAAAGAGAAA